AUUGUUAUGCUUCAUCGGGACUGAAGAAGAUAAUUGGAUGGAGGAACCUUCAGAGCCUAACCAAAUGGAUGGAAUGGCUUCUGUUUGUACAUAUGUGAAUUGCGGCCGGCAGGCAUAGAUAACAUUCAAUCUAUUGACAUAUGGCCUUAUUCAUCAAGGCUCUGGUUUAGUCGACGGGAUUUUCAAGGAAGAUGUGUGCUCUCCCCAAAAUUCACUCACCCAUAUAAACAAUAGACUAUGGAGACUUUGACUACCAAAUAUAUAUCAUAAACACCAAUGAAAUUUUUUCAACCAUAUUAUUGAUGUCCAAAAUUGAAUUCAAUUUAAAGGAAAUUGUCGGA